AUUGAACGCUGCCGGCAGGCGUAACACAGGCAGGUCGAGCGAGCGGCGGACGGGUGAGUAAUGUAUGGGGAUCUGCCCGAUAGAGGGGGAUAACUACUGGAAACGGUGGCUAAUACCGCAUACUAUCGGAUGAACCCAUAUGGGAUUAGCUAGUAGGUGGGGUAAAGGCUCACCUAGGCGACGAUCUCUAGCUGGUCUGAGAGGAUGAUCAGCCACACUGGGACGGAGACACGGCCCAGACUCCGACGGGAGGCAGCAGUGGGGAAUAUUGCACAAUGGGCGCAAGCCUGAUGCAGCCAUGCCGCGUGUAUGAAGAAGGCCUUAGGGUUGUAAAGUACUUUCAGCGGGGAGGCGUUACCCGCAGAAGAAGCACCGGCUAACUCCGUGCCAGCAGCCGCGGUAAUAC
rnacentral:rRNA from 1 species